UACGGGGGGGGCAAGCGUUGUUCGGAAUUACUGGGCGUAAAGGGCUCGUAGGCGGCCAACUAAGUCAUACGUGAAAUCCCUCGGCUUAACCGGGGAACUGCGUCUGAUACUGGAUGGCUUGAGAUUGGGAGAGGGAUGCGGAAUUCCAGGUGUAGCGGUGAAAUGCGUAGAUAUCUGGAGGAACACCGGUGGCGAAGGCGGCAUCCUGGACCAACACUGACGCUGAGGCGCGAAAGCUAGGGGAGCAAACGGGG
rnacentral:rRNA from 1 species